GACGAACGCUGGCGGCGUGCUUAGCACAUGCCAGUCGAACGGAAAGGCCCUGCUUUUGUGGGGUGCUCGAGUGGCGAACGGGUGAGUAACACGUGAGUAACCUGCCCUUGACUUUGGGAUAACUUCAGGAAACUGGGGCUAAUACCGGAUAGGAGCUCCUGCUGCAUGGUGGGGGUUGGAAAGUUUCGGCGGUUGGGGAUGGACUCGCGGCUUAUCAGCUUGUUGGUGGGGUAGUGGCUUACCAAGGCUUUGACGGGUAGCCGGCCUGGGAGGGUGACCGGCCACAUUGGGACUGAGAGACGGCCCAGACUCCUACGGGAGGCAGCAGUGGGGAAUAUUGCACAAUGGGCGGAAGCCUGAUGCAGCAACGCCGCGUGCGGGAUGACGGCCUUCGGGUUGUAAACCGCUUUCGCCUGUGACGAAGCGUGAGUGACGGUAAUGGGUAAAGAAGCACCGGCUAACUACGUG
rnacentral:rRNA from 1 species